rnacentral:rRNA from 1 species
CCAGCACCCGCGGUAAUUCCAGCUCCAAUAGCGUAUAUUAAAGUUGUUGCAGUUAAAAAGCUCGUAGUUGAACCUUUGGCCUGGCUGGCAGGUCCGCCUCACCGCGUGCACUUGUCCGGCCGGGUCUUUUCUUCUGGAGAACCGCAUGCCCUUCACUGGGUGUGUUGGGGACCAGGACUUUUACUCCGAAAAAAUUAGAGUGUUCAAAGCAGGCCUUUGCUCGAAUACGUUAGCAUGGAAUAAUAGAAUAGGACGUGCGGUCCUAUUUUGUUGGUUUCUAGGACCGCCGUAAUGAUUAAUAGGGACAGUCGGGGGCAUCAGUAUUCAAUUGUCAGAGGUGAAAUUCUUGGAUUUAUUGAAGACUAACUACAGCGAAAGCAUUUGCCAAGGAUGUUUUCAUUAAUCAAGAACGAAAGU